AUUGAACGCUGGCGGCAGGCCUAACACAUGCAAGUCGAGCGGAUGAAGGGAGCUUGCUCCUGGAUUCCGCGGCGGACGGGUGAGUAAUUCAUAGGAAUCUGCCUUGUCUUGGGGGAUAACGUCCGUAAACGGGCGCUAAUACCGCAUACGUCCUGAUGUAGAAAGUGGGGGAUCUUCGGACCUCACGGUAUCAGAUGAGCCUAGGUCGGAUUAGCUAGUUGGUUGGGUAAAGGCCUACCAAGGCGACGAUCCGUAACUGGGCUGAGAGGAUGAUCAGUCACACUGGAACUGAGACACGGUCCAGACUCCUACGGGAGGCAGCAGUGGGGAAUAUUGGACAAUGGGCGAAAGCCUGAUGCAGCCAUGCCGCGUGAGUGAAGAAGGUCUUCGGAUUGUAAAGCACUUUUAGUUGGGAGGAAGAGAAGUGAGUUAAUACCUGGCUGUUUUGACGGUACCAACAGAAUAAGCACCGGCUAACUUCGUG
rnacentral:rRNA from 1 species